rnacentral:misc_RNA from 1 species
UUUCCGUAGGUGAACCUGCGGAAGGAUCAUUAAUUAUAUAAGGCCACAGGGCAGGCUUUCCGAAAGGAUCGAGCUUGCUGUGUGAACCCUACCUACCCUUGCUUUUUGCGUACCCAUUGUUUCCUCGGCAGGCUUGCCUGCCAGUAGGACCCUCUUAAACCCUUUGUAAUUGCAGUCAGCGUCAGAAACAACGUAAUCGUUACAACUUUCAACAACGGAUCUCUUGGUUCUG